rnacentral:rRNA from 1 species
CCUACGGGUGGCAGCAGUGAGGAAUAUUGGUCAAUGGACGAGAGUCUGAACCAGCCAAGUAGCGUGAAGGAAGACUGCUCUAUGGGUUGUAAACUUCUUUUAUAUGGGAAUAAAAUGUUACACGUGUGGGGUUUUGUAUGUAUCAUAUGAAUAAGGAUCGGCUAACUCCGUGCCAGCAGCCGCGGUAAUACGGAGGAUCCGAGCGUUAUCCGGAUUUAUUGGGUUUAAAGGGAGCGUAGGUGGUUUGUUAAGUCAGUUGUGAAAGUUUGCGGCUCAACCGUAAAAUUGCAGUUGAAACUGGCGGUCUUGAGUACAGUAGAGGUAGGCGGAAUUCAUGGUGUAGCGGUGAAAUGCAUAGAUAUCACAAAGAACUCCGAUUGCGAAGGCAGUUCACUGGACUGCAACUGACACUGAGGCUCGAAAGUGUGGGUAGCAAACAGGAUUAGAUACCCUUGUAGUC